GCUUGCUCCCUGAUUCAGCGGCGGACGGGUGAGUAAUGCCUAGGAAUCUGCCUGGUAGUGGGGGACAACGUCUCGAAAGGGACGCUAAUACCGCAUACGUCCUACGGGAGAAAGUGGGGGAUCUUCGGACCUCACGCUAUCAGAUGAGCCUAGGUCGGAUUAGCUAGUUGGUGAGGUAAUGGCUCACCAAGGCGACGAUCCGUAACUGGUCUGAGAGGAUGAUCAGUCACACUGGAACUGAGACACGGUCCAGACUCCUACGGGAGGCAGCAGUGGGGAAUAUUGGACAAUGGGCGAAAGCCUGAUCCAGCCAUGCCGCGUGUGUGAAGAAGGUCUUCGGAUUGUAAAGCACUUUAAGUUGGGAGGAAGGGCAUUAACCUAAUACGUUAGUGUUUUGACGUUACCGACAGAAUAAGCACCGGCUAACUCUGUGCCAGCAGCCGCGGUAAUACAGAGGGUGCAAGCGUUAAUCGGAAUUACUGGGCGUAAAGCGCGCGUAGGUGGUUUGUUAAGUUGAAUGUGAAAUCCCCGGGCUCAACCUGGGAACUGCAUCCAAAACUGGCAAGCUAGAGUAGGGCAGAGGGUGGUGGAAUUUCCUGUGUAGCGGUGAAAUGCGUAGAUAUAGGAAGGAACACCAGUGGCGAAGGCGACCACCUGGGCUCAUACUGACACUGAGGUGCGAAAGCGUGGGGAGCAAACAGGAUUAGAUACCCUGGUAGUCCACGCCGUAAACGAUGUCAACUAGCCGUUGGAAUCCUUGAGAUUUUAGUGGCGCAGCUAACGCAUUAAGUUGACCGCCU
rnacentral:rRNA from 1 species